GUUUGAUAUUUGAGCCUUGAUGAAAUUGUUGGUUUUUGCUUAAUUGCACCCAUUUCUCUGAAUGUACCGAAAUCUAGUUCCAAAUUUUUUUUCCAGAAAACAAAAUGUCAUUGGGGCUUUUAUGUGCCUCGUUUUUUAGAAAAAUUCUAAGAAUUUAAGGUUCCCUUUACUUAGAUCAACUUGUAAAUCUCUCUUUCUCUCUCUUGUUAUGAUGCCACAGCUUGUGUAUUUUGGAACUUAAUCAAUUGCCACCUCACAUAUGAAAUUAUUUCCACAUUUUGUUAUAA
rnacentral:misc_RNA from 1 species